UCCUGGAGCCCAUCCCAGGAAGCCCAGGGAAUGAGAUGGAGAAUGCUCCGGAUGCCAGGCCGCACACUCACGUCUACAACCUCACACUAGAGGCUACUCAGAGUCAGCUCUGCCUUUGGACUGUGGGAGGAACCUACAAUGCUGGAUCAGUGAGGCCUCAUUCCGCACCAUGCAGGGCGCCCUGCCCCAACACGUCCUGUGAGGAAGGUUAACAGGACACAGCUGGUGGCUAAUAGCUCCAGCCAGGGACCAGGAUGGCCUUCUCUAGUGGAACGUAAAACCUUAAAGGUUGGGGAGAGAGUAAAAGGUACCUAGGCUGGCUGAAGGAGUUCCAUCCUACCUCUCCUUACAAAGCUGCACGUGGCCCCAGCGAAUCAGGAGAGGCAGGGAGCGUGUCCAUGGGAACCGUCUUGGAAGGAAACCACCCCUAU